rnacentral:lncRNA from 13 species
AGUAGAGCAUUGCAGUAGUCUAAUUUUGAAGUGACAAACGCAUGGAUUAGAUUUUCUGUCUCAUUUUUGGACAAAAAGUUUCAGAUCUUUACAAUGUCUCAAAAACAUUUUUUAUGUGUUUGUCAAAAGAGAGAUCAGGGUCCAGAGUACCGCUGAGGUCCUUCACAGUUUUUUAGAUGACUGUACAACCAUCUCGCUGUUAACAACUUUUUAUCCUUGUGCAUAUUCCCUGUGUGUCUGUAUGUGUGGGUGUGUGUGUGUGCAUGCUUUUCAUGUUAAUGCAAGUGAGUGUGUUCGUACCCUGUUUUUUUGGUGUGUAUGUGUAUUUUCGUGUAUUGUUGUGUUGUCUUAUGCAGUUGUAGUUUCUCAGAGUGUCAGUUCAAAGUCCUCCCACAUCCAAACAGAUCCUUGACAGUGUUGUUUAAUCUGUCAGUGUUGUGAAUAGAUGUUAGAUAGAUGUCCUGAGUGACAUUGAGAGACAAACUGUCUGUCUCUCCUCUAGACUGCUGCAGAGCACAUAGACAGACCUUUGAUGUUCACAGGAUCACUCCAAUCAUCAUUAUCCUCCUCUCGGGCAGCUCAGCAGCGAUCCUCUGACUGGAGAAAACCAUCCAUCCAACUUUAUGGACCUCUAUCCAUGAGGGUCAGCAGCCACUCAACAUCAGUAGGGUUGACAAUAACUUGGGUUAAUAUUCCAAUCAGUUAAUGAUUUGAAUUUGAAUUGAUAUUUACGUUUUCUACUUUCCACUAGUUUUUCCACUAGUAUGUAUCUGUCGAAAUGAGGUAAAUACCAGCCGAAACAGAACUGUAAAAUAAGAAUCACUGCUCUAUGCACACAUAAAUCCCUCCCUCUUUUUCUUUCUCUCCAUCCCCCCUUCUCUUGCUCUCUCUCUCUCCUCAUACAGAGUAUACAAUAUUGGAACAGUAAACAUAAAACUCUGGGGCACAGGAGGAUUACAUCGGGAAUAUAUAACUCUCUCUCUCUCUCUCUCUCUCUCUCUCUCUGAGCUAAAAAGGUGUCAACAGGAUGUCUAAGACCGUGUUAGAGGCGAUAUGGACUUGCUCUGUAUGUGUCUGUGUCUGAGUGUGGGGGUGGGAUUUGUCAUGAUUGUGUGUACGCUGUGUGUGUGAUUGUGUGUGUGUGUGUGUAUGUGCCCCAGAGAGAUGGGCGGGUUGAGGUUGUGUUGGCAGCAGUUUGUUUGUUUCCACCAAUCUUGGCUGUCCCCCAUAGAGGAUUGCAGAGACUUAACCCACUAACCUUGAAAAGAGGUGCUUUGUUUAUAAAUAGCCCCCCACCAAUUAGAGCUGUUUUUCUGUGUCCUCCCCACUGCGCACGGCACAAUGGAAUCCCUGACGAGUCGGCUCGUUAGCAGGACUGCACAGGAGCCACCACCUCUGUAAUUAGAGUCUGCUAUCAUUCACCUGCCCCUGCCACACUGCCUGCCCUGCUACACACACACACAUAUGCUUGCAACUUACAGACACAAAAACACAGACACCCACAGUACAUACACACGGUACACAGAAAACACACACAUGCUAACAAUAGUAGAGAUCUAUGGGUCUGUACCAGAAAUCAGGGGUCAAAGACAAACAUUUCAAUCAUGAAGUGUUCCUCACAGACUAAUUCGACCUUAGUCCCACUUCUCACACUGUGGCCUUGUAUCAUGGGUGCCAACAACAAGACACACACACCAAAAGAAGUGCUAUAAUUCUCUAGCACUUUAGCGAAGUGAGAAAAGGUGAUCGGAGGCUGAAUGUUAAAGUGGGAAACGUUUGAAUUAUACUUUAUUUGCGUAACU